rnacentral:rRNA from 1 species
UACGAAGGGGGCUAGCGUUGCUCGGAAUCAUUGGGCGUAAAGAGCGUGUAGGCGGUCCGGUAAGUCGGCUGUGAAAGUCCAGGGCUCAACCCUGGGAUGCCGGUCGAUACUGCCGGACUAGAGUUCGGAAGAGGCGAGUGGAAUUCCCGGUGUAGCGGUGAAAUGCGCAGAUAUCGGGAGGAACACCUAUGGCGAAGGCAGCUCGCUGGGACGUUACUGACGCUGAGACGCGAAAGCGUGGGUAGCAAACAGG